AAAGGAAAUCAUCAGAAAACAAUGAAUCUAAAAUUGGUGGAUGUUGUUGAAUUUUGAAUUAAACUAUAAUAACACAAAUGAUUAUUUCGAAUCAAUUAGCAGAUAGACAUCGAUACAUUGAGCCACUAGUCAUGCUGUAAUUGGGCUGACUAGCUAGUAGGCCUGCAGGGGUAAACAUGUCAAACCCUUUUGGGCUUACUUGAAACAAGCCCAAAUCUGUAGGUCACCAAGGUUCAGAGCUUUAAAUCAAUUCCACUAAUCAUUAAUACUAACAUGAAUCUGAUUUUGACUAGAUAAUUCUGCCAAUUUUCAGGGAAUACAUAACUAAAGAGUUAAUAAUUUUACAUUAUAGUGAAAACCUAACAAGAAUGAUACAAUUACUGAGUUAAAAAAAAUAUAGUCUUAGGCAUUCCAUUGCAUCAACCCUUCACGAGAGUAGCCAUUUCUGAGUCAUAUGCUUCCUUCUCCUUCACACCCUGAUUUACAAAAGAAUAGCCAUUGGGCUAGCUUUUCAAACCAAUCUCAUUGCACACAACCACCAAUCAAAGAAACAACCAAAUUAGACAUAUAUUUAUCACUGCUAGUGUUAUUUCAAGCACAAACUAUUAAUUUAAAGAAUAGCAUGCUAACAACAAGUGAUGAACUACCAACAAACAUUCAACAGUUUGAGUUUUAAUCCAACCAUACAGUCAACAGUUUGAGUUUUAAAAAUGAGGGAGGGUCUGUUAAGAGAAGGAAUAAUUCAGCAUGAAAUCAGGGGAAAUGAGAGAUGGGAGGGAAUAUCUGUAACUGAAAAAAUGCCAGCUACCUAUCUACUGUUAAUUCUUUAUCCUUAUCCCCCAUUUUCUUUUAUUUUUUUUGACUCCUAAAUCCCCUAAAGUUUGAUCCCUUUGCAAAGCACUCCCUUCUAUUCCCUUCUAGAAGUGAGAUAUUUGAUUGAGUCUGGGCCAAAUGCCCUGGACCAAUGGCCCAAAGCAAAGCAAAUAUGGCCUUAAGGAAAAGCCCACCCGACAAGACAGAACAAAGUUGCAGCAAACUGAAACUUAAUUGUAAUUAAGGAAUUAGCAAGAAUGCACUCAAAGACUGACUAAACAUAUUUUUAGUUAAGCUUAAUCAUAUGUGUUAAUUAAUCUAUUUUAACAAACAAUCCGAGGUGAAACUCAUUAAUUAAUCAGAAAUUAAACAAUUAAAAAAAAGAAGAAAAGAAAAAAGAAAAGAAGAAAAGGGAAAUACCCACUAAGGCAAACGACUGCUAGGACAUAAGAAUGUCAACUUCAAACCUGUUGACGGCGACUUGACCGUAUUCUGAUAAUUUUGGAAUGAAUCAAAACCAACAUCGAUCGAUUGCACUCAUCAAGAGCAAUCAGCCAGUGCAGGUUUCGAAUCAAAACGAGUCGUCGCUUGAGAAUUAAACAAGGAAGAGUCAGUUUAAGCUCCUCUUUUUGGAAUUUUAGAUCUAUUACUGGUCAUGCUUGAGACGGAUUAAAAGGAAAUGGAUAAGGGAUUUGGAUUGAGUAAGAGUUGGGGAGUAUCUGGUGAAAAGUUGAGACCAAAUGGUGGUUGGCCGCCGACGGAAGAUAGGUUUGGGAGUAGUGACGGCUAGGGUUUAGGGGUCUUUGAGAGAUAAAGGAAAGAGAUGAGUUUGAGAGGUCUUUGGGGGGGAAGGGGGAUUAGGGUCUAAUUCGGACACUUUUAAG
rnacentral:lncRNA from 1 species